UCCAACUGCUCCCGUCUGCUCUCUCUCUUCUUUCUAACUACUGGUGCCAUUGUUCGGCCGGCGAUGGUUGCUCCUGAUCCUGUUCGUUCUGGACGGCGCCGUCGGGGUCGUCCUCCUGGGAUUCGGGCAGCCGUUAUUGCCCGUGUACGCCGUGCCGGCAUGCCUAUUUCUUCUGCGGAUUCCUCGUCGGUGACGGCAGGCGCUGCUCUGCGUGGUCGGUUGGCUGGGGUCGGUUCAGGACGGCGUUCCCGCUCCGCGGCGGCUCGACGGCCGCUUAGUUCUCGCCGGGCUGGCUGCCAGCGUUCUGACUCGCCGGCGACGUGCUCAGCUCUACACGGAGAUAACCACGUCUGCUUGGCGGUGGCUCUCCACGCCAGCGCCCGUUCCUUCUUCACCCGACGACGAUGGCAGCGCCGUGAUCGCAUAGCCUGCGGCCUUCCACAGCGAGCGGCGCGCCGAUCACGCUCGAGGUCGCCCUGGUAACCGACUUAUCGCCAACGACGUCGAUGAUUGCGGCGAGCUCGCCCACGGAGGGCACCCAGUGCAGCCCUACACCGUUCCACGGUCGUGGAGCGACGGCGUCUGCACCAGAGCAGCCCAGAAUACUGCUGCUCCUCUAAGUCGCAGUUCCAGUUUCUCAGAGGGGCGCCACAGCGGGGGGAGACGUCGACGACGCGGCAUGCGGCGCAGAGCAGGGGGGGUGCCGCCAGCGGAAGGAGACCGUGUUGCCGUUGUGGAUAUGGCGGUCGCACGGCAAGCAGAGCCCCACUGUUUCCGCCCGGAAGUAUACCACGGCCAGCGCGACGGAGCAUUAGCACUCCGUUGUGGGCACCAUGUCGGCGGCAACCCCUGGCACCAUGCAUGUAUUACUCCACGGAGGGAGUAUGUAAUAGGAGUAGUUUUUAUAGUAAACAGAUGAAGAAUGGCAUGUGCAUGUGGUUCUUGGCUAGAUGCCACUACACGGAGGAUGCGGUGAUCCUGUAUUUUCAUGCAGGUUCAUUGCACUCUACGCGUGCGGCAGUUGCGACACCUCGCAUCUCGAUAUAUGAAUAGACCAUGCAUGACCGGGUGUAUACAUCCGUUAGUUCAACUAGCUAGCUAGCAAGGAAAAAGGCAGAACCAAGAAAGAGAUCGCAUGCAAGCCUUUGUUCAGGUGUGUCUGUAGCUCGGUGCUUAGCACUUUUGGCUUUUCUAUAUACGGUGCAGCCGGUUUCGA